rnacentral:rRNA from 1 species
GGUAGUCCACGCCGUAAACGAUGGCCACUAGGUGUGGGGGGUAUCGACCCCCUCCGCGCCGCAGCUAACGCGUUAAGUGGCCCGCCUGGGGAGUACGGCCGCAAGGCUAAAACUCAAAGGAAUUGACGGGGGCCCGCACAAGCAGCGGAGCGUGUGGUUUAAUUCGACGCAACGCGAAGAACCUUACCAGGGCUUGACAUGGCCGGAAAAGCGCGUGAAAGCGCGUGUGCCCGCAAGGGCGUCGGUCACAGGUGCUGCACGGCUGUCGUCAGCUCGUGCCGUGAGGUGUUGGGUUAAG